CCUGCCCAAGAGAUCGGGAUAACACCUGGAGACAGAUGCUAAUACCGGAUAACAACAGAUGAUGCCUAUCAACUGUUUAAAAGAUGGUUCUGCUAUCACUCUUGGAUGGACCUGCGGUGCAUUAGCUAGUUGGUAGGGUAACGGCCUACCAAGGCGAUGAUGCAUAGCCGAGUUGAGAGACUGAUCGGCCACAUUGGGACUGAGACACGGCCCAAACUCCUACGGGAGGCAGCAGGC
rnacentral:rRNA from 1 species